ensembl:snoRNA Gm24313 predicted gene, 24313
UGCAGCUGUGUCAAAUUCAGUGCCUCUCCUAAUGAUGGCAAGCACUGGCCCAGAAGGCUGCCAUAGAAACUCUGACUCCUGAGCUCUGUUCCCCAUGCUAGGUUCAGGGAUAAAUGGAGUCACAGACAUCA